CGUCACAGACAGACGGACUUCACCCACAGACUUUUGUCUGGAGAGAACACUGAGGACCUGCUCCACACUCUCAGGUGAGAGGCUGCUCUGUGCCACGCUGUGAAUGAGCACAUACAGACCAAUCUCAAUCUCUCUCUUCUGGUCUCUUUAUUAUGCACUCACACAUUAUACAUGUGUGUUCAUGUUCUCUUUACUUUAAUUAACCCUGACCUGUUUGUUAUUAAGAUAAACUAUGUCUAAGGAAGACAGGAUGGCAGAUUUGUUAAUGUUAAUCCCCAACACUGCAAAGCUAAACUGGGUAGAAACUGGAUUCAGUCCUGGACGGCACAAACAGAAGGGAAGACAACAAGCAUAUAACACAAGGAACACACUAUUUUUGCUCUACCUAAUGUAGAGUUGAAAAGAUAGAAGUUGUACAAGUUCUUUAUAAUCACAAAUCACAAAUAUAAAAUGAUUACCUCAGUUCAGUCAGGAUCUUUCCCUCCCCCAGAGCUGAGAUCAGGACACCAACAUCAGCAUCUGACAGCCUCUCCACAUGUAACCUUUCAACAACAUGAAGACAGCCAUCAGACCAUUCAACCACAACAGAUCAGUUCUCUCACAAACAGACCACAGCAUGACACACAGAUGAAGCUGAACGUAUGAAAACACUGAUGGCCAGAUGUUUCCACAUGGCCAGAGUACCCCAUGAGUAGAAUUACUCACAUCCAAAUCCACUGGCUGGUGUGACAUUUUCUACUGAAUAUGAUUACAGCAACAGAUCAGUUAACAAGUCAAAGGCUCAGGAAAAGAGCACAACUGUUUUGAUACAGAGCAUGAAAUUACUCAUUACUCAUACCCUCACCUGGUAUCAAAUCUCUUUUGUAUAUUAAUUUCAUAUUCAAACUAUGUAUAUUCAUUUUUUUGGGAAUAUUAUAAAAAUACUCAAAGUCGCAUAAAGGUCUAUUUGGCACACGACUGAUGAAACAAUUUACUUUUUGAUCACCUCUUGAAUUGUUGCACAGUUAUACUUGUGAUGAAAUGAUUGUAUGGUGUUGUAGUGGUGUGUGGAAAUAUCCAGUCUAGUUAUAACAUAUUAUGGAAGGCAAUCUGUAUUAUAUUGUGUUAAUCUUGGUCACCUGAUAUGACUGUAUAUAAUGCCAUCUGAAGACAAAUUUCUCUCUUCAAAGAUACACUCACCCCAGCUCCUCACACCUGCUCAGUGCAGGCUGCAGCAUCCUCAGCUUCACACACACACACACACACACACACACACCCCAGCUCCUCACACCUGCUUAGUGCAGGCUGCAGCAUCAUCAGCUUCACACACACACACACACACACACUCACCCCAGCACCUUACACCGGCUCAGUGCAGGCUGCAGCAUCAUC
ensembl:lncRNA